GGAAGCCCACGUUACACGAUACGCUGUUGGAUGCAGAAGUCCUCCCAGCCAAGACUUCACCACAGACCCAAAACCAACCGGCCAUUUUGCCAUAUUGUCUGUGGAUACAACUAACAACAAAUUUUCAUCUAAAAUAGGAGACCGGCUUCAAAGGUUUAAACCGCUCUCUAAAUUCCUGGGACCAACCCAUCCUACUACCCUGAAUCUGCCCUUGGAGGCUCAUCACAUACAAGAGAAGACACUUCCCUUCUUGCCUUUCAUCUGAAAACUCAGGGAGGGCUCCAGAAAUUCCCCUUUCCCCCCUUCUUUCUGCCUGGCCUCAGGAGCAGAGCUCUGAGCGGGAAGGUUUUGACAGCAAACGUAGCUUUACUGGUAACGUUCUUAGCAACCGCUGGCUGCUAAAUGCUUUCUAGAUAUUCAGGUGGGUGAUACGAAACAGCGAGAACAAAAAGAUCUAUGGCAAAGAGGAAUGGCAGAGCUGCAUUUCUGUAUUUUUAAGACCCCAGUAGGGAGCCAGCCUAUCAGGUGAGCUUGGGAAGCACCUUACAGUACACAGGGGCUACAUGAAGAAGGCAUCAAGAGCGGUUGGCGAGACACUGAUAAAUGGGAAAAUAAGGCUGAGGAUACUGAUGGAUAACAUGCAACAUCGCCAGAGAUGAAUGGAGGGAGAGCUACGGAAGUGGGGAUGGAAAACGUGUAUUUGAUGUGAGAGUGGAAGCGUGGGUACACUGGAGGACAAGGGAGAUGGCUCUACUGACUGUGUUUUGGAUGUGUACUCCUGGAAAGUGUGACGGAGGUGACAGCAUACUAGUCAGGGCAGAAGGCGGUGAGGGCCUAAAUGAGAAUUUAGCUGAGGGGAUGGAAAGAAAAGGAGGGAUGUUGACCCUGGAAAGAGGCCUGAAGCAGCAGGAUUUGAAUGCAGAAUGUAGGGCAAAGAUUUGGCAGAAAUUGAGGUCUUCUCAUGACAGAGAAGCUAUUGUUUGUUAGCAGUGAUGAAGAGGGGAAGAGGGGAAGGUUUGGGAAUGAGGAUGAGGGAAAGCAAAGUUCUGGAAAGCAAGUUUUUGCAUGAAACAAUGGGAAUAGAAGCUUCCAGUAGUAAUAGGUGAUAAUAUUAACAGGGAAUGUGAAAUUCCCAGGAUGUGAGGUCUCUAGGGACAGGUUUCUACGAGCACUGAGGUGUCUGAACAUACGGAGAGGUGCCUAAAUACGGUAUUCAGAAGUGUCUCUGCUCAGAUUUUUAAAGCUAUUCAGGUGAUUCUCUGCUCGGUACCAAGCACAUACACUCCAGUGCCAGCUCAACAGCUACUCCGUUUCCCUAUGAAGACACAGUCUGAAUGCAUGGGCUGCAGGACCAAAUGUCUCCUACAGUCAUUCAACGUUUAAUGCUCAAUUUAAGUGCCUAAACAUAAGCCCGUAACGCCACUGUAGCUGCACCAGAUAAUCCUGCUUGGCCUCCAACUGCUGCAAAUAGGCAUGGGUUUUCUGCGUGUCUAUGUCCAAUCUUUCAGCCCCGUGUUGGUAUGCUGGUACAUUAGCAGGUCUCACAUGGCACGACCUGCUGGUAUGAGGACAACUGAAAUGAGCCCCUACUCGAUACAGUCAACAGAGUCUAGAGACUACUUUAAAAUAAAUACCUGCACGGUGACACCAGUGGUGUCCCAGCCAGUGGGUGAACCUCAUCCCUAAGGUUAGGGGAGAUGAGUCCUACUGUCACAGUUCGGUUGCCCGCACACAGCUGUCUAGUGUCAUUUCAGAUGUCUGCUUGGCCUCCAGAUGCUGCUCCAGAGGGCAUGGGGCUCCCAUAGGUCCUUUGUCAGGUAUACCAGCCGCACAAGGCUGUCUUGAAACCAUGGGCCACCUGAAAUGACAACGGACGCCUGUGCACGGCAACUAAACCAAGCCUUCAGCCUACUGAAGGCAAUUGGGAGGGAUGACCCUGGGCAAACCCAGCAGGGUUCGCAACUGCCUGCUGCAAGUGAGACUCCCGACUACCACUCCUGAUGAUCCCACCCAACAGCAUAAGUUUUCUAAUCUCAACAGUCUGACCCUGAUCACACAAUGGCAAUUGACAACAGAUGUCCAGGCUCACAACGUGCUCCAGCCUGCCAGAGGAGGAAUAAAUGAAUAGCAGAAAUUACCAGCAUCAAGGAAAUCUUCCUUCUCAGAAAGGCUGAAGGCAGUACUCAGCCCUCACGACUUUCUGUUCCUCCUUUCCUCAACAGAAACCAGCACGAUCGCUCUCCAUUUGAACGGUGGACAUGUCAAAGACACGGAGGAACAACCCACGCCUGUGUGUAGACAGACAAACAGCUCUGAAAUAUAGGCCUUUUUUGUUUCGACACGCUCAAGAGUGGUGCUGCUCCAAGUGCCCAGCCCCAAAGCCUUGGGGACCGUCCAGCAGCUCACAGCUUUGCAAACUGUUUUCUGGCUUCUUGCCUCUGCUAUGCACCCAGGGCUGUCUUCUCUUCUCUUCUUUGGUCAAUGAACCCUUUCCUCAAGAUGGUCACUGAUUUCUUCAUGCUGGAAUAGGAAACGGGACAGAGAUACAAGCUGCCAGAAGAUGAAACGUGAGAGACUUUAUGCCGUUCACCAAUGAUGCAUUUCAGAACCACCUCAGUAGCUGCAGAAGAUGCAUGGCGCUCAUGGUCCGAUCUUCAAUGUUCAAUGAAGACAAGACAGCACUGAUCACAACAAACAAUCCUCUUCCUGACUUGAAGUCUAACCCCACAGCGUUUUUCACCAAGGAGCAAUUCGGAACGGUAAAAUAUGUCACAGUUCAACAACACGCAAGUAAUGAGCUUCAUGUCUAGGCUAUUAAGAAGGUCUGUUUAGGACUGGAGAGAUCCCAGAGGCACCGCUCUGAGGAAGGCAGUAACGUUGAGCGAGCUGGGAGGGAGACACUGAACAUUGGCUCAAUGAUUGCGUGGCUUUGGGGCGAUGCAGAUCGUGUCAAUGAUCGGAUGGAAAUCAAACCUUACCCACUGGGUCCACGUCCCGCUGAUCAAUGAGCCAAUCCCUUAGCUCCGCUACCCAAGGGAGUCACCUAGUGCGUGCGGCCACGGCUGGAAAGAGGACCUGCCUUUCGGGGGCGCUCCUCACUUACACUGUACUAAACAUAACAAAAAACCAUACCCAAGGACUGCGGGUUUGGUCCUGGCUCUCUGCAGGGUUGAAGUCUGACAGACUUCAGUGACGCUGCCCCAUCUUUGUUCUUUGCCCUCACUCCUGUGCCAUCACCAUGGCUGGGCAGCUCAGCUGCCCGUUCCUGGCCAUAUGCAGAUAAAAACACAUCCAGGUUAAAAAGAACCAACAAAACUGGUCCUGCUGCUUAAGGAGUUACAGUCAAAGCAGAGCCUAAAGCCUCCAUCUCCUGCAGGAUUUAGAUGCCUAACUUUUAGCUAGAGGAAGUUUGGUGAGAUGAGUCCCGUGCUCACUGCUGAGGAAUUACACCGACUUUAGUUUAUCUUCAAAGCUGAGCUUCAGUCUCUGUGCCAGCAAAGAGAAACUACAAUUCUCAAAAAGCAAACCAGAACACAACUAAGCGCAACUCAAAGAGUAUUAUUUACUUAUAUGCCUCAGCUGGCUUCACAUGGUGGUUUUGGAGAACAUACUUGUUUGCAUUAGAUUGUAUACGUGACUUCUGUACAGCUUCGCACGUUUGGCCUCCAUUGCUUCCCUUCCUUCAGCAGUUACUGAGGUUGCUUUUACUUCUCACCCUGCUCAUCCAAAUUCCCUCAUUCCUGGUACAAAACCUCUUUAUGUUACCCUGAACAAGUGCCAGGAACUUCUCACUUGGGUUAAGGUGGACGUUUUAAACCCCACGCAGUAAUAACUCAUAUCUACUUUGGUCUAAUUUUCUGUUCUCUUGCAGAGGACCUCUCCCAGGAGUCAGAUUCACUUUCCCUUGCAGAAGACACAACAGAAAGGGCCAACAGAGCCAAAGGCGACUUUUCCUGCAGAAACGGCUGGGAAACGUCUUCCGUUCAGGUUCUCCAAAGACAGCGAUUUUGAAGCAGAAGGACGGUUCUCGAAAAGCUAUGCUGAGAAGCAAAUGAAAAGGCAAUAUCCACAGCUUCGCUACCAAGCCCCCCCUAAGCCAGGUGCAAAGUCACCGUUCCCUGAGAAGGGGAGGGAGGGAUGGGUUGAGCCCAGCCAGCACCCCGCCUUCACCUACCGCAAAGCUGUGAUCAGUCGAGUUGGUAAAGGUGGUGAGUGAAGACACCUCUCAGGCACCCAAAGGAAAGCUGUGGCCAUCCUAGACCAACGCAGCAUUUCAGCUUGCACACAUCCAGCACAGGGAGCCAUACGGAUCGUCCCUUAUGUCACUGGUCGGCAUCGAAGACCUCUGUGUAAUAGCUAAAGCUUUGUGCAUGCGAAAACUACCUCAGCUUGACGAGUCUAUUUUUAACUUGAUUAAGUUAAAAGUUUUAUGGACAGGCGGGCCAGCGGUUUCUAGCUGAUGAGGCAUGAGAACAGUAAAGGUCAGGUAAGGCACGGCGUGCUUCGAAUGCCUCAUCAGGACAGGCUCUGCUCGCUGCCUUUUCGUUCUCCUUUUCUUCCAUCCUCUGUUUUCUUCAGAGUCGCUGCCACCUCUCCACCCGCUCCCCUAAUUCACCUCGAACUAAUUUAGCAUCCAGACCCUUCCUAUAGCACUUGUGGGAGACCCCCCAUCCUCAUUUUCAGCAGAGCCCUUCCCUUUCCGUUCCUCCCCUCCGUAAAUGCCAAGCCCCCUGCUCGGUACUGCUUGAUCUCCAGUCUCAAGGGCGGACCCGUUGCCUCAGUUCUUCUGAGAAGAGCUGGGCUUCUCCUCUUAAUGCUACGAGCAGCAGCUGGACUGCUGGCCAAGGGCGAGGGCUUCGAAGGUAACCAAGAGCAGGGAGCGCGCUGCUGAAAAUGAGGGUGUGUAGGAGCGCGGAGCGAAGGGAUCCGGCGGCUCCGUAUACGCGAGCGCAGCAAGUCAGCAGGGCUGUCUUCGGCGGGACGAAAGCCUGAAGAAAAGCUCACUGGCGAGCUCCUCCUAAAGGGGGGCACCUCCUUGCCUCCCGCUCGGACGAAAGAGAAGCUUCUCACCGAGCAGGCGUUAGGGAUCGCCCUUUCGUCUCGGCAGGGGAAGAACCACCGCACCAUCCAGUCGAGGUGAAAUCCAGUCGGCAUGAAAUCCGAGCGAGAGUCGAGCGGGGUCUUUUAUUUUGUUUAAGUCAAGAUCUCUGUUUUCACCUGGUUUCUGCAGCAGGAGGUGCCGGUUCCUCACGAGCCCCGUGAGAAAGGCGCUCAGACGCCUUGAAAACGCCGUUUACCGGAGCUGGCACAAGAAGGAAAAAGAGGAUUAGCGCAGAUGACAUUACGCUCUACCCUCACCCCCUCCCAAAAAAAGAGGUGCAGCGGAGGGGCCCCCAGGCCGGGCGCGACGCCCGCCCUUGGCACGGGGCUGAGGGACCCCUCCAAUGCUUCGUUGCA